AAAAUUUUGCCCUUUUAGUAUUUGUCCAGCAGGGUCCUGUAAUGUUCAGGACUCCAUC
ensembl:snRNA U7 U7 small nuclear RNA